GUGGAGAUAAACCCAACCAAGAGCCUCUUGGCUGGAGCCACCCACAGAGAAGGCUUCUUGAGGCGGGGCAACUCUGGCAGCUGUGGGGCUGCUGCUGGAGACUUGCUAUUAUUACUUCAGACAAGGAUUCUGAGCUCAGGACCCCGGGUCACCCAUUUGCUCCUAACUAUGGGGUUUGUGAGUGGAAUUGCCAUUCUCCUGGCUUUGGGUAUUGCGGGUGAUGCUAAGACUACACAACCAGAUUCCGUGGAAAGUACGGAAGGAGAAAUGGUGCGCUUGCCUUGUAGCCAUGCCACGAUCAGUGGAAAUGAGUACAUCCAUUGGUACCGACAGGUUCCUCUUCAGGGUCCAGAAUACGUGAUUCAUGGUCUACAACAAAAUACAACCAACAGUAUGGCCUUCCUGGCUAUUACCUCUGACAGAAAGUCGAGCACCUUGAUCCUGCCCCGUGUCAGCCUGAGAGACGCUGCUGUGUACCACUGUAUGCUGAGAGUAGCACACUAUGACAGGCAGGGCUGCGCCUGUGCAAGAUCUGCCUGAUGGGGGAGGGGAAGCAGUGGCAUUGCACCUCAAGAGGCCUCUGCGCAGCAAUGAGUAAUGAGCUCAGCAGGAAACUGGGAAGACAGCGAGGAACCAAGACAGGAUGGCGAAACGGAUUCUGGGACUGGGCAAGAAGAACUAACAGUCCUGGAAGGAUGGAUAUGUUUGUGUGUCAACUGAUACUACAACUUCUAGUCCUGCGGUAAGAAGGAGAUGAGAACUAACAAGAAAAAAGCUCAUUUCUGUAUAAACUUAAGUAAAAAAUAAUGAGAAGAUCCUUUUGGAGUCAUGGAAGUAUCUAACACUAGGGACCCGCCUUCUAACAUCCCUGAAAUGGAAAGAAGCCGUGGAUUUUCUCCUAAGAAGAAUUACAAGUUUUUUUCUGUUGCUCCCGUAUGUCAUUCAGUC